GGUGUCAUGGUUGUCGUCAGCUCGUGUCGUGAGAUGUUCGGGUUAAGUCCGCAACGAGCGCAACCCCUACGUUUAGUUGCUAACGCGUGAAGGCGAGCACUCUAGACGAACUGCCGUUGACAAAACGGAGGAAGGUGGGGAUGACGUCAAAUCAUCAUGCCCCUUAUGUUCUGGGCUACACACGUGCUACAAUGGCCGGUACAGACGGACGCAAAGCCGCGAGGUGGAGCAAAUCCUAAAAAAGCCGGUCUCAGUUCGGAUUGCAGGCUGCAAUUCGCCUGCAUGAAGUCGGAAUCGCUAGUAAUCGCAGGUCAGCAUACUGCGGUGAAUACGUUCUCGGGCCUU
rnacentral:rRNA from 1 species